GAUGUGAGGCUGGCCAGAAUGACCGGCGGCUGCUCGGCACCCGGGACCCCUCGGCAGUGUCUUGUCUCAGCGUUUGGCGUCUUGGGGCUCCGGACCGCUUGACGGUGGGACCCCAGCAAGGUGCUUGGCGUCUCUGAGCCUCAUCUUUCGCUUCUGUAGAAUGGAAUAUGACCCAUUGCACCCUCACGGGAUUACCAGACGCAGAGCAUCCGUGGGUCCCGUGAGGUAAAAACGUUGUCAUCCUCGCUUUCCACGCGGGAAAACAUGGCACGGCAAAGCGAGAGACACCCCCCCCCUUCCCUGGUGACGCUUUUUGCCCGCGGACCUCCAGGGACAGAGGUGAGGCGAAGGAAAUUGGCCCUAGGCUUAUUCCCUAGGGCGGAGGAGAGAAUGUCACCGCCUCGCAGAGCCGCUGUGAGGCUCACGUGUCCUCAGUCUCAGGAUCACUUGAUGCUCCUAGCAGUGAUUGAGGGGCCAGAGGCUUUUGCUGAUAUGGGUUAUAGUUAAAUUAAAACAAGAAGUUUGACCGGCGUGGUCGCGCACGCCUCUAGUUCCAUUGACUUGGGAAGGUGCCGCAGGAGGAUCCCAAGUUCGAGGACAGCCUACGCAACUUAGUGACCCUGUCUCAAAAGGGGGAAAAUGUAAUACGUGGUAAAGCGCCCCUGGGUUAAUUCCCCAGUACUCCCCUCAAAUGUUUAGCCGUAUUUUUUAAUUUAAAAACGAACAUAUUAUAUGUAAUUAGUAGAUAAAUUUCAUAUCCCGAAAAUAAAGAAGAGUGAUGGUGUUUUACAUUUUUUGCAACUCUUUUUAAAGCUUAGUGGAUAGUAACGGGAUUCUCAGAUCUGCAUUAGGUUUGCUGCAAUGUUAAAGGUUGCUUUGGUUGACGUAUAUGAAGAAAAUCGAGCCAAUGCAGAUAUGUGAUUCAUAAAAGUAGGACCGUCAGACCUAGUCUUGAGAAUGGCUUACUGAGAGCCUCUCUGGGAACCUGCCAGGCUUUGGGAAUAACAGCGAAAUGACGCUAGAUCAUCAGGAAAAUGAUCUAACAGCUUCAAGCAUCUCUUUUUCCUCUAGCUUGGGAUAAAGGGGAGGCCAGGUGGGAGGCUGUUUAGAAUCCUCUGCAGGAAAGUUUCAGAAAUGGUAGUAAUAGCCACUCCUGGAGGUAAACAGACCCCAAAGGGGUGGAGGGAACAAGCACAGGACAGUGAGAAGACAUUAAAGUUCACCAAGGCCUGACUUCCCACACCUACAAGGCCAGGAGACCCUAAACAUGAAAGGAGAGCUGGAGUCAGAAUCAUACUAAGUAUCAAUACCACAUUAAGUCUUAAAAUAUUUGCUUGAGGAAACCUCUGUGGUGCUGGAAACAUUCUACAUCUUUACCACCACCCCCACCCACACCACCACCACCCCCCCCCAAGGAGGAGUGUUUAUCACAAAGUAUCAGCCAUAGGAAUGGGGGACAUCAGUUUUUUGGUUUGGGUGUUUUUUGUUUGUUUGUUUUGUUUGUUUGUUUUGUUUUGAUGCCUUUGCCCCACAUCCCCUCCUUUUCAAAACACCGACACAGGCUUUGUAUGGGAAGCACCAUUCCUCUAUUCAGUUUAUGUAAUCUGACUUACCUGGGCUUAAUUCCUACUCUGAAGGCUGGGCUUGUGACUUUGACACAGGCAACCAGGAAUUACAUUCCCUGGAAAUUACAUAAAGGGGUUGGUUCAGGAGGUACAGGGAGGUGAUACACAGGAUCCUGUGAAGCUCACUCCUGUGGCUUACACUGACCUGAGGGGGAGAAGCACUUUCAGAUGGCUGACAGAACAGCCUCAUUAGCUUAUGCUGCCAGUAGUGUCCCAGGCAGCAUAGGUGAAUCAACAGGAAACAGCUGGGAAAUAGCAAGUACUUUGUUGACCAGAUUGCUUUAAAGCUUCUGAGCCAAUGAAUUCCAUCUUUUGCUUAAGACAGUGUAAGCUGGAUUCUUUUUACUCCCAACUUAUAAGUCCAAACCAGGAACAAGAGUAUACUGGAUCACCUCCUCAGGUGGAUAUUGGAAGCAAAGACUGAAUGCGUAUUAUUAGAUAGGAUUCCUACAUAAGAAGUGUAUGAACUGAAUUUUAGGUCCCCCAGAAAUUCUUAUGCAGAAGGGCAAACAACAAUGUGAUGGUAUUUAGAGGUGGACUUUUUGCAAAGUCAUGAAGGUGGAACCCCUGUGAAGCAAUUAGUACCCAGCAAGAAGGCAGCCCUCAUCAGAACCCAACCAUGCUGGCACUCUGAUCUCAGAAUUAUAGCCAUCAGACUGGCACCCUGAGGACAGGAAUAGAGCUUAUAUAGACAAAAGGGUGGCUCCUGCAGGCACAGUCAACUGGUGACCACAGACUGUCUGCACCAUAAUGCUAACCAUGGUGAUCUACACGUGUAUGAAGUCCAUCUGUACUCAGCUCUCAUGUUUGGGGAAGAGAAAUUCCCAGCAAGUUCAAAGGGAAGAUGGCAGCCAUGUGCCAUGUAUGCCUCUAAACUGGCUGCAGCUGAAGUGGCAGUUGCCACAGCCUUGAUGACAGCCACAGAGGCUGGACCAAGGCUUCUGGAGUGGCAACAACGAGAGAAAUGACCUCCAGCGCAGCAGCUGCUGAGCAGUAGGUUGCUGUAGAAAGAGUGAAAGCCACGAUGGGCACAGGGGCUGCAAAGGUGGCAUAAGUGGUGCCCUGAUCCCGUCCCUACCCUACCUACACCUUGUCCACAGAACUGGUGAGGCCAUGUAGCUAUCCCCAGGGGCAACAGUGGGGACUGUCAGUCAAGUGGUGCCUGCUCUUAUUGGUCCCAGGUUGCUUUGGCCAACUGCAAAAACAACCUUUGAAAACAAAGGAGAAAAACAGAAAAACACCUUUUGGGUUGGGUCAGGCCCUUUGUAUUCUAAUCUCAUUUCCCCCUUACGAGAUUUUUAUCCUCUUUAAUCUCUCCCUUUCUUCCCCCUACUCCUUACUGGAGGCUUCACCACUGAGCUAUAUCCCCAGCCCUUUUAUUUUGAGAAGGGGUCCCACUAAGUUGCCAAGGCUGGCCUUUAACUUGCAAUGUUCCUACCUCAGGCUCUUGGGGUGACAGGCCUGCACCACUACUCCAGCUCUCCUUAAUCUUUUUUUUUUUUUUAAUUUAACGUUUUUUUAGUUGUUGAUGUACCUUUAUUUAAUUAAUUUAUUUAUAUGUGGUGUUGAGAAUUGAACACAGUGCCUAGGCAAGCGCUCUACCACUGAGCCACAACCCAGCCCCUCUCCUUAAUCUUAAGGAGUCAGGAUGAAGGUCUCUAUCUUCCGUUAACUAUUUACAGCUGACAACAGGCAUUGACCCUAUGGGUCCCUGGAGGCAUUAAAAAUCUCCCACUGACUGUUCUCAUGACCUAUAGGACCUGAUUCUUCCACUAAAGGGAAACCAUGCAUAAAUAUCAGUUUGACCAUGAACUGCUAUAACUUGGAAGACACAACUUUACCAAAAGGUUAAAAACAUGAGAAGCAAGUGUAGUGGUACUCUCCAUGCUCUCUCCCUUCUUGGUCCCUGAUGUACUUUCUUUGGAGCAGUGCCCACCUUGAUCUUCCCAACAUCCCCCCUCUUUUAGCUGCUUAGUUAUAUGCUCUGCUCUUUUUCAUUUUUCUUACCCAGUAGACCACUUUUUCUCCUGUGCCCAGCUAAUAUUUUUCCUUGUUUUCCUGCUCUACUGCGUCAUGAAGAACAGUUAUAUAUUUCCCCAUCUGCCAUUCUUUGAGCUGCCAUCUGUGAAUCAUGUGGCUGAUUCAUUAGUGCUCUUGUGUGCAAUCCAUUCUUGUCCUCCAUAUUCACUGUCCAUGACAUAUAGUGAUAUUUGCAUAGACAGACUAUACCAAAUCUACACAUUCUACCUAGCAGCCCAUGCUCACAACUCUUUGGCCACAGGCUAUGGAUACUUUUUGAAACUAUCCAUGGCUCCCUACAAUCUUUCAGAUGUCCUUUCACAUCCUUUCUUUUACACUUGUCUGAAAACAGUCCCGGGAAACAUCUGCAUCUGAUUCUCCUACUCCUGUCCUUGCAUGUCCAACCUGACUUGCUACUGGGUCUCACCACUCUCUCCCUGAGUAUUCCCACCCAUCUUAACCUCUCUUUCUUCUCCCUCAUUAGCUCUCAUCUCUUUUUAGGAGCUCUCUUUCAACACUGGCUCCAGUCCUCUCUGCUCCUACAUUCUCUGUGGACAACCGACCCACUGAACUCUAGAUAGAUGCCACCGGUGUGGUUGGAGACUGCUGGACUUGUCAGCAUCUCUCCCUGACACUGGUCACUGGUGCCUUCCUUUAACUGGUGCCUUCCACAAUGCUCAGAGUCCCUUUUCAGAUCUAGUCUGACUCUCUGUGCUUUACAUUAAAACCAAUUAUCCCAUCCUUUGGGGUAUUCACUCCCUUUCAACUGCCCUUGCUGUCUUCCUCUAAAAAGACUCAACUAUCUAUUCUGAAAAUCUUCUCAGCUAUUACCUGUCUUUAGUUAUUUUCUUACCUCAAAAUUUCUAGAACAAAUAGCCUAAAAGUGUUAACUAUCUUUACUAUCUGCUCAUUUCUCAAUCUGGUUUUCAUUACAACUUCCACCCUCCAAAUUUAGUCAGGAGUCUCUUUGGAUGUCUGCUGUGCAACACAAAUUUAACACUGAAACUGAAAUGGUGAGCAAUAGAAAUGAGAGGAAGAAAAGGUGAUGAAAGAAUAGAGGACACAAACAAGGGGUGUGGUGUUUUUUGGGUGGGGAAAGCUACACAGGGAGAGCCAGACAGAACUCUCCAUUCAUAGUUGACAGAAGCAAAGAUUCUGGCAGCCACUUAUCCGCAAGACAUGCCAAUCACCACUGUUGUUGGUCCUCUUGUUCAGGAUACUCCCUUAGUAGUUGCUAAUGAUGUUACCAAUCAGCUGAGGGUUUUUUCGUUUGUUUGUUUUGCUCAACUUGGAUAGAAAUCAUGAAAAGGCAAAGUACAGUUCCCUUUAGUGUUAUCAGCUCCAGCUCUUAUUAGUGUUAACAGUGGAGUAGCAAUGGCUAAAUCAGCGGUUGCUGCAACGACAACCACACAAUCAAGGGAGCUGCAUAGCUGGCCAAUUCCUUCCCUACUUGCUCAUCACGCAGAGCUAGUGUGGCCACUUGGCUGUGUGCUAGGGCAGCAGUGGUAGCUGUCAGUUGAAUGGCCAUGCACAAUGGCACCUCCCGGUGAUCCCAGGUGGCCUCAGCUAUCUACAAAAAUUAUGUACACACCAAAGAAAUAAAAAAAUUAAAAAAAGAAAAACCUGUAUGCAGCAAAAUUAUCCUUCAAAAGUAAAGGAGUAUCCCAUUAGCAUGUAGAACUUUUGUUUUUGCAUUUAAGGUUUUUUUUGUUGUUGUUUGUUUGUUUGUGUGUGUGUGUGUGAGUGAGAGAGAGAGAGAGAAGGAGAUGGGAUUCUGGGAAAGUGGCAGAUUAGGAAGUAACAGGAAUCCAUCUUCCCACCUAGACAACAAUUGUACUGGCAGAACCUGCUAGAACUCUAGAGGAUACUGAAGAGGAAACUCCACAGGCAGGCGUAGAUGGUCAAUUGCAGUUAAUGUUGGUCAAUUUUAGGCAUUGGCUUAACAGUAACUUCUCAUCCUUGACCCCACAACCUCAUGGUAGGCAGUCAUGCACUUGUUCCAGAAAAGCUGAUGUUCCCCAAAAUAUUCACAAACUUGAUUAAAGAUAUGAAUAUAAACAUUCAAAAGCUCAAAGAACUCCAAAUAGGAUGAAAUCAAAGAGAUCCACACUGAAACACAUUAUUAGUAAACUGUCAAAAGCCAACAGAAUUUUUUUUUUAAGUGUUGGAGAUCAAACUAAGGCCUUGUACUUACUAGGCAAUCACUCUACCAUUGAACUGUACUAUGUGCCUUUAAAUUCUCUUUUAUGACAGGGUCAGACACCUGGGACAUCUGAGUUGAGGUCUCCUCUGCUUCUAGAGAUAUGCUUGGAGCCCUGACUGAUGACAACAGCAGCUGUAACAGAGCAGUAGGGGAUGAGAUAGGUGCCUGAUGGUUAUUGGUUAAGUAUCUGGGCCACUGACACCUGCUCCCCACCAACUCCUGAUGGCUUCAACUGUUUUAAAUGAAGAAAUGUAAAAGUAUCUUUGGCCAGGCACAGUGGCACACACCUGUUAAAUCAGGAGGAUAGGCAGGAGGAUCAAAGUUCAAAGCCAGCCUGAGCAACUUAGCAAGACCCAAGGGCUCAGGAUGUAGCUCAGUACUAAAGCACCCCUGAGUUCAAUCCCCAGUAUUGGGGGGAAAAUGUAUUGAUGAUCUGUUGCAAAGAAUUUUACAUGUUACAGAUUACCCACAGAGAAUAAAAAUCUUAAUUCUCUAGAAAACAUAAGAUUCAAUAUAAAGUUAGCAUCCUCCAGUAAACUCAACCCAGCAUUUACUCAUUGCCCAAGGCAAUGUAUUCCUUGAGAAGGAUUGUAUAUUCUAUUCUGUUUUGUCAGGAAGAAAGUUCUAAAAAUCAAUAAGUUUCCACUUAGGAAACUUAAGAAUUUGAAGAGCAAAUUAAAUCCAAAGUAAACAGGAGAAAAUAAAUAUAAUAAAAAUUCCAGUAGAAAUCAAUGACAUUGGAAAUUCCUAGGAGAUCAAGAGAAAUAUCAAUGAAAUCAAAAGCUGAUUCAUUGAAAAGAUUAAUAAAAUCAAUAAGCCUCUAAUGAGGCUUAAUAAGAAAAAAAAAGAGAAGACACAAUAUUAAAAUAUUGUGAUAAUAGUGAGAGAGGACAUAUAUUAGAAAUGAAAGAAGGGACAUUAAAAGGUUAAUAAGGAAAUAUUAUGAACAAUCUUGUGCACACAAACUUGAUAAUCUAGAAUAAAUGGAACAAUACCUCAAAAAAAAAAAAAAACCUGCCAAAAUUCACAUGGAAAGAAAUAUAUAAUUAUCAAAGAAAGUGAAUUGGUAACUAAUAACCUUCUAAAACAGAAAGUGGCAGGCUCAGAUGGGUUCACUGUUGAAUUGUACCAAACAUCUGAGGAAGAGAUUAUUCCAAUCUUACAUUCUCUUCCAGAAGAUAUAAGCAAAGGGAAUACCCACCUUUUCAAUGAAUGCCCACCUUUUCAGUUGGAACAACUGAAACCAAUCUAUGCAAAACUAUUUUUAAAAUUUGAUACAGAGCUUACAUUUUCACAAAAAUAAACCAAAAAUGGAUCACAGACCAAAAUGUAAAACCAAAACUAUAAACACUCAUAGAAAGUAACAAGAGAACCAUUGGUAAUCUUGAGAUUGGCAAUAACUUUCAAAUAAAAUGCCAAAGGCACACCUAUGAUAGCAAUAACCAAAAAGAUAAACUUGAUUAAAAUUAAAAUCUGCUAUAAGAGACACUGUCAAGAGAAUGAGAAGGCCAGUCAGAGUAGGGGAAAAUAUUUAUCAAAGACAUUCUGAUAAAGGAUUGCAUUCCAGAAUCUAUUAAGAAUUCUUAUAAUUCAACAAUAAGAAAACAACCCAAUUAAAAAAUGGCAAAAGAUCUGACAAGACAUAUCACCAAAGAAAAUACAUAACUGGCAGACACCAACACCUAGUGCUGUAGAAGAGGUGGAAUAACAGGAUUUCCCAAUCAUGGCUGAGAUAGUAAUGCAAAAUGGUCUGGCCAGUUUACAAGUUUUGUACUUCUUAGAAAAGUAAAUAUAGUGUGUGUGUGUGUGUGUGUGUAUAUAUAUAUAUAUAUAUAUAUAUAUAUAUAUAUAUAUAUAUUUAGUUGUAGAUGGGUACAACAUCUUUUAUUUAUUUAUUUUUAUGUGGUGCUGAGGAUCGAACCCAGUGCCUCAUGCAUGCGAGGCAUGCAUUCUACCACUGAGCUACAACCCCAGCCCCAAAAUAUGGUCUUAAUAUAUGAUCAAGCCUUUGUGCUCCUUGGUGUUUACCCAAUUGAGAUGAAAACCUAUGUCCUCUCACAUCUAUUGACUGCAGCUUUACUCAUAACUGACAUAACUUGGAAGCAACCUGGUGGUCUUCUUCAGUAGCUAAGUGGAUAAGCAAACUGGUAUGGCCAUACAAUGCAAUAUUAUUCAGUGCUGUUUAAAGAACUGAGCUACCAAGCCAUGAAAGCCAUUCAUAUGGUAUAAAAAAAUGGAUAAAGAAAAUGUGGUACACGUACACAGUGGACUAUUACUUAGCCUUAAAGAAGAAUGAAAUUAUGUAGGUAAAUGGAUGGAACUAGAGAAUAUCAUGCUAAGUAAAAUAAGCCAAUCCCCCAAAAAACAAAGAUCAACAAAUGUUUUCUCUGAUAAGCGGAUGCUGAUCCAUAGUAGGUGUGGGGGGGUGGGGGGUUAAGGGAAGAAUGAAGGAACUUUGGAUUAUGCAGAGGGGAGUUGAGGCGGGGAGCAGUGGGAAUGGGAAGGAUGGUAGAAUGAGACAGACAAAAUUACCCUAUGUACAUGUAUGAUUACACUUCUGGUGUGACUCAGUAUCAUGUACAGCCAGAAGAAUGAGAAGUUAUGCUCCAUUUAUAUACAAUGUGUCAAAAUACAUUCUCCUGUCAUGUAUAACUAAUUAGAACAAAAAUUUUUAAGUGAUGUUUAAAAAAAAAAAAGACAUGGAGGAAUCUUAAAUGCUUAUUGCCAAGGGAAAGAAGCCAGAUUGAAAAGGUUACAUAAUGUAUAAUUCCAAACCUAUGACAUGAAAAAGGCAAAAUUAUGGAGACAGUAAAAAAGAUCAGCAGUUGCCAGGGAUUGAUGGGAGGAAGGAAAGCUUUUCUAUAUGAUACUAUAAUGGUGGAUACAUGCCAUUAUACAUUCUUCCAAACCUAUAGAAUGUACACCACCAAGAAUGAACUUACUGCAGUGAGUGGUAAUGAUGUGUCCAUGUAGGUUCAUAGUUGUAACAAAUGUACCCUUUGGUGGGGUAUGUUGAUGGUGGGGGAAUUUGUUCCCAGGCAGGGGGUGGGGUGAGAACUUUAUGUACUUUCCACUUGUACAUUCUGUGAACCUUAAACUGCUCUAAAAAUAACAUCUAUAAAUAAACAAAAUGAAUAAAAUAUUUUGGGUACUAUGGGUUGAAUCUGAGGUGCUCUACCACUGAGCUGCAUCCCCAGCCCUUUUUAUUUUUUUUAAUCAGGUUUCAUCCUUAUCAUAUUUAUCUUCAUUUAUUUAUUUUGGUGGUGUUGGGAUUAAACCCAGGGCCUUGGACAUGCUAGGCAAGCAUUUUAUCCCUGAGCUACACCCCAGCCCCACUUUUUUAUUUUGAGACAGGGUCUCAGUUGUGAUUCCUCUACCCCAGCCUCCCAAGUCACUGGAAUGACAGGCAUUGCAACACUGCACCCAACUUGAAUAAAAUAAUUUUUUAAUUAGAAAAAUAUAUAAAGAACUCCUAGAAAUCAAGUAGACACUGAGCUAAAGAGAAAAAUGGUCACAAAGUUGAAGCAAGAAAUUCACAAAAGGGGAAGCCAAAAUGCCCAACAAAAAUGUGAAAUGAUCUGAUCUGCACUAGUAACCAGGCAAAAUGCAAAUUAAAUCCACCAAUUCUAAAAGAGAUGCUUAUGUAUCAGAGAAGUACUAUCCCAUGCCUGUCCGACUGGUAAAAAUUACAGUGUCUUUGACUAUGGCCCAGGCUUAAGAGGAAACGGGUAACAGGAUCUCUUCAGGUAGGGCUGUUUAAGACAUGAAGACUUGAUUGGACAAUGUAGUAACCUAAGGCUGCCAGGUGCUAGGACAUCUCCCUCCUGGUAUGUGCCCUAACAAGUCUCUUUCCACAUGUAUAGAAGGAAACAAGAACAGCAGUACUCUCUUAAUAAAUGACUUAAAUGUCCAUCAACAGGAGAAAUCAAUGAAUUGCAUUACAGUGGAUUCGCCAAAAGAUCACACAACAGUUAAAAUAAAUGCACUUGGUCCUUAUUUAUCAAUGGGAUGAAUCAGAAAUAUAAAGCUGAGAAAAAAACUUUUCAGAAGGGUAUGUGUAGUGUGAUUUCAUUCAUAUAUGGAGUAGACUCCUGCAACUUGACAUCUUAUCAUGUCUCUGGCACAUAGCCAAAGAAUAACAAUAUACGGCCCAUUGAUAAACCCUGAAUUCAGGACCCUGAUUUUGUACAAGGGGUGAGGCUGGGAGAUACAUAGGGAACUCAGUGGCAUUUGUAACGUUUUACUUCUCAUAUAUCAAAAACAAAUGAGGUGCUGGGAGCAGUGGCACAUGCCUGUAAUUCCAGCGGCUCAGAAGGCUGAGGCAGGAGGAUGAGAGUUCAAAGCCAGCCUCAGUAACUUUGUGAGACUCUAAGUGACUUAGAGAGAUCUUGUCCCAAAAAAUAAAAUGAGCUGGUGACAUGGCUCAGUGGUUAAGUGUCCCCUGGGUUCAAUCCUUGGUACAAAAUACUAAUAAUAGUAAAAUAAAUUAUCUUGCCUUAGGGGCACAUGUUUAUGCCCCGAUGCUUUGCUGAUGCCAGAGUAUGGGACAGUGAGUCUAUACAAUCCUCCAAACCCUGGCUGGAGAGUUGUCAAUGGAACUUUCAAAGAAGUCUUUGAGCUCAGUUUCAAUAAACAGCAAAUGCUAAGGAGGGAGAAUUCAUGGGGUGAGAGUCCUAACAGGCAAGGCCAGGGAGAGUAGGAGGUGUCUGUUAGGGACUGACUGGACUUUGAAAGAGACCAUUACUGGGGAGAAACUAGCUCUAUAGCACUGCAGGUUGGGGUGGAAGGGGAUCCCUGAGACAUCAUGGCGUUAUUUCCCUGGCUUGGAUACACCAAUUCUAAAAGAGACGCUUAUGUCUCUUUUAGAAUUGGUGUAUCCAAUACAGCGGAACCAACCUCAUGUGUGCCAGGCAGGGUACCCUUUUCUUUUCAUUCCCCACAUAGUUCCUGAGAAGGAUCAGGAAACACCACAACAAUCCUUGGCUUGGAACUGGCCACAGGGUACCACUAAUGAGGUCAGACUGGGACCCACUGUCAAGGCAGAGAAUAGUCACAAGACAAGGCUUAAUAAAAUAGAGGGUCCCAGUCCUUGAACAUGGCUUGAUGGUACAGGAAGAGGUGGUACAGAGCAAAGCUCCAGGGUACUGGAGAAGACAGCAGGAAGCACCAAGAAACCUGGCCAGAAACCUGUGGGAGAGGCAGACAAAGGCAAGCCAGCUGCCUGCAGGAGUGGCAAGGGAGGCACCUUCAAGAGCUUUUGGGAGGAUAGAUGGGAACAGUGAUGGUGGGUCCCAGACAGACGCAAACUUCCUUGAGUCACUGGGUUAUACAAGUGCUUUGGGUAACAAUGACUAAGAGCUAGACGAUGGUGCAGGGCAGGCUUGACUAGUGGGAUUCAUGGCCAUCUUGGUUCCUAAGAGAAACUGCAGGAAUGUGUCACCAUUCAUAUGUGCAAGGCAAAUGCCAGAACCCUGAAGCUACCCCGGUGGGGUUUCCAGGCAAUGGGGCCAGCCUGCCAGAAAGCAGCUGGGAGGUACCCAAAGGUAGAGGAAUAAACAGGCAGGCGCCAGCCUACACCAAUGUCAUGGAAAUACCCCACAAUAUUGCCAGGCAAGAACUGGGGCCAACAACCUGACAAUGCUGCCUGGGAACUAGAAUUUACCAGAUUCAGUCCACUUGGCUCCAGGAAGAUGCCCCUGUUUGCAGGACCAAAAGGGAGAAACAAUAGUCCCCUGGGAUAGAAGCUGGGGGUGGGGCUGCACAGAAGACAGGAAUGCAGUGGCUGGCUUAGGGCUGCUCCCAAGGGACCUCCCUGCCCAGUAUACUCCCACGAGGAUGCCUAGAACCUGGCUCCCUCUUUCUCUUAUGAGCCCCUGCUCCAGGGAAAGGAUGUCCUCCCCUGGCGCCAGCCAAGUCCCUUAUGAUAAGCCCUUACAUGCAUAAAUGACUCACAGUUCUCAAGAAUGUCAACCUGCUUCACCACCCAGCAGCCAGAAAGUUGUAUUAUAAAAAUAAUUAGAAAACAGUCAAUCCUAGAAGGCUACAGAGUCCCUGACUCACUGACCAAAGAGUUGGUUCCACAGUUUUCUGAUGAGAAAAAUUGUUCAAGCAUAAAUACCUCAUAAUACAGGAGCUAGUGGGGCCAUGAAAAAACAGUACAUUCUUUUCUGCACUAUGAUGUGUCAUCUCACCAGGUGCAGUGUUUCUGGGGGACAAUUUGGCAACAUCUAUUAAAAUAUAAUUACACAGAGGCUGGGGAUGUAGCUCAGUGAUGGUAUUCACCUUGUAUAUGCAAGACCCUGGGUUUAAUCCCCAGCAACAAAAUAAAAUUUAAAAGUAUGCAAAAACCAUCUCCUAGGAAUUUAUUCUAGAUAUGUCUUUGGAUCAAGAUAAACCCUACUAGGGUUUCUGUCUCAAUUCUUCUGACAUUUGGGCUGGAGAAUUGUGGAAGGUUGUUGUGGGUUGUGUUCUGGGUUCUGGUGUGAUAGUUAUGGGGUACCAAGACAUCUGAUCAAGCAUUAUUCUGUAUGUGCCUGUGAAGGUGUUUCAGGAUGAAAUUGGUGUUUGAACCAGCAGAAUAGUUGUCUUAUUCAUUUGUGUUGCUGGUGGCUUAUAAACAACAGAAAUUUACUUCUCAUAGUCCUGGAGGCUGAAAGUUCAAGAUUAAGGGGCUGGCAGACUGGUAAGGGCCUGUUCCCCAUAGACAGCACCUUCCAUGUGUCCUCAAUUAGCAGACCCGGGUGAACAAGCUCCUUUGAUGCUGUCAUAAGGGCACUGAUCCCAUUCAUGAGGUUCCUGCCCCGUGACUUAAUCACCUUCCCAAGCUCCCAACUCUAAUACCACCAUAACCCUGGGGAUUAGGAUUUCAACAUAUUAAUUAGGGGCGGGGCACCACCUUCAGUCCACAGCACUGAGUAAAACCAAUGGCCCUCCCUAAUUUAGAGAGGCUACAGCCACCAAUUUGAAGGCCCAAAUGCAACAGAAAGGCUGACCUUCUCCUGAGUAGGGGAAUAACCCCUGCCUCCAGCCUUCAAACUGGGACAUGCCUUUUUCUUGGCUCUUACUGAGUCUCCACCUGCCAGUCUUUGGACUGGGAUACAUGGCCAGCUUCCCCCAGCUUCUAGGCUGCUAACUCACCCUGCAGAUUCUGGAACUUGUCACGCCCUGACUGUGUGAUAAUAAAUCACACAGUCUAUUGGUUCUCUUUCUCUGGAGAACCCUGAAAAGUAUAAAAUGUGAGCAGCAUCCUUGAUAUUUGCCUAUUAGCACCCCCACCACAGUUGUGACAACCAAAAAUGUCUCUGAACAGAUGUCCCCUGAGGGAGCCACCACUUACACACAUUCCCAGGAAGGAAAGUCCAAUUCACUUGAUUCAGGCCCAGGGCAGGGAGGUAAUGCAUAUUAUCUUAGAGAGGGGAUGACUAGGAGCUAUGAUGGGGGACAGGGGAUGAACUUAAGGCUGAUGAGAAGAGACCAAGAGAAAAGACCUUUAGGGAGAGGGAGGAGCAAGUCCAAGGCCCCAAGGAAGGCACAAGCCUGAGAUCCCUAGAGGCAGACACAGGGGAAGGCAGAACAGAAGGGGAAGUGGGGGUUUUCUCCAAGUUCAACGAGAAGUGGUGGAAGAACUGUAAGAUGGGAGAUAAGAUUUAGUGUACAUUUUGACAUGACCACACAGUUCCCCAAGGAGGAAGAACCAGCACUAGCCAGGCCCCCGACCAAGAGUAAAAUGGCACAAACCCCAAUAGGCAGCAGCAGGGCUUAGCAGUGACCACUAGAAACCCCUUAGGUUAGUACCCUGGGCUGGGCCACCCUUGCAAGGAAGGGAUUGAAUUCUUGUUCCCCAGGGUAUGGAGACAGGGAACAGAUGAGCAUCCAACCACAACACAGUAGGAUUAGGACUUUCUUACACCAGAGUUGUGGCACCAAGGUUAAGCCCACUGCACCGACAGACACACAUGCCAAAGUACACAUCAGAGGCGUGCCCUGUAGAGGUUUCUAUAGGCAAACUGGAAACUACCUCCAAGCCAUCAGCUGGGGACAGGUCAUCCUGUGGUGCAGGAUGGGGGAUACAUUUGAAGGAAAGGUGGAGAGAUCCGAGGUGGCAAGAAAGACCUCCAGGUGCAAGACAGUGUGUAGAGCGCGGCCUCUGAUAAUAGCAUUUUUAGAGUAUACACUACACUCUUAUGAAUCUCAGAGCAUUAAAGAGCAGGCUAAACUCUGAAUCAUUAUGCAGAACAAAAGGAACACAAGCAAAAUCCCAUUCCCCAACAGAAAACAGAUGUGUGGUUACCUGGGACCAGAUCCGGUGAGUGAGAAUAUACAUUUGUAACAUUUUCCCAGGUGGUGCUGCUGAGCACCCCACUUUGAGAAGUACAACAGUAGUAACAGGUGACUUGCAUGGGGCAUACCCAGGCAGGUGCUUUUAUUUAUUUAUUUUUUUUAGUUGUUUCUGGAUCUUUUUUUUUAUUUAUUUGUAUCAGGUGCUAAGAAUUGAACCCAGUGCCUCACACAAACUAGGCAAGUGCUCUACUACUGAGCUACAACUCCAACCCCAGGCAGGUGCUUUUUGAAGCUGGUUACCUACACUAUUUAUUUAGUUCUUAUACAACCUUAUGAGGUUGGCACCAUAGCUGUCCCAUUUGUUGGUGAAGAAACUGAGGACGAUACAUUGAGUCAUCUGCUCACAUUCUCACAAGUAAGUGACGGUAGAGGUCCUAAGCUAGGCAUCCUGGCUUUAAGGGUCUGUCUUCUUACACUGCAGACAUACAUGGCGUCUCCAUUUUCCGAGGAUACUGAGGCUCAGAGGAGUUAGAAAGAAUUAGAAUCUCAGUCUCCUUGCUGAACUGUUGCCUGUUGUCCACUGGGAUACAGUUCAUGUACCUGACACCUGCAGGAUUAGGGCACUUGGAGAAAACUGUUGAUGUGAGCUCUGUCCACAUGGGCUGCAGAAAGCACCUAAAGAAAGAACACUCUUAGGAUGAAACUCACCUAUCCAAAACCAGAGGGUUGGUGAGGCCCUUUCAGCCUGUGGCCUGCAUUCCCAGGUAAACUGGAGGCUUGCAGGGUUGAUGGAGGGGACAUAGUGCUUCCACCCCCCGCACAUCACUUCCCUUUGAAACUACCAGGUAGCAGUCAUGGCAUUUGGAAAGAAAUGAUCCCAUCCCAGCUCCUUGAGGGGACUCACAUUAGCCUCAGCCAUGGGCCACUCUCCACAUGGCAUUCCCUGAUCCUGUUAGACAAGCAACCCAAGUCAAGCCAGAACUAUGUCUUAUGGAUGGAGAGAAAGGAGCUGUCUUCUUGGAUAAUGUGCCAUGUGAGACCAGAGUAGCUCCGGAAGCCAGUUUGUAACUUUUCCAUCCUCAGCAUGAAGCUAUGUGGAGAGGAGGGCAGAGAACUGAGCAGCCAUAGGGUCAUGUGUUAGCAUCCUAUUACCAUAACAAAAUACCUGAGAUGAUUUUUAAAAAGUUUAUUUUGGCUCACAGUUUUGGGGGUUCCAGGCCAUGACCAGUUGCUCUCCUUUGCUUUGAGCCUGUGGAGAGGCAGCACAUGUGGCAAGAGCAAAUGGCAAAGAAAAACUGUUCACCUCAUCAGUCAGGAAGCAAAAGAGAAGGAAGAAAGGGCUAGGGUCACACAAUCCCUUUGAGGACACACAAGGACCUCCCACAGGACCCCAGCUCCACGACUCUACAAUUUCCCAACAGGGUCACCACGGGGACCAAGCCUUUAACACCUGGGCCUUUGGGGAACACUUAUCCAGACCUCAGCAGGCCAUAACCCUGAACAAGCUGCUCUUGGAGGUAGACUGCCUUGUGAAGAUUCAAAUACAUACACAGAUUUUCUUGACUGAAGCCAGAGUUCAGUUACUCGUAACCAAAAGCACCCUAAUGGGCAUAAGUGUCUCAACCUUAAGGUGAAAGGAGUGAUAUCCGGGUGAUAGGGACCAGUACUGUAGUUACAACUGGGAAAAGAGGAAGCCUGAUCCCCCAGUCUCCUUCUAAAGUACCUCCUGGAUCAGAAAAAGGACAAUAACCUUGAUUUUGAAGAGCCAUGAGGCUGCAGUUUCAGAGAAAGUUUGUCAACUAGUGCUGCCUUCCUUCUCAGAGCCACUGCUUUGAGAAGUGGCCACUAAACUGAGGGCAGGAGUCAGAAUGUCAGGAUUGGCUGCUAGGAGCCAAGGAGAUCCUCAAGCCUCAGGUGGAUAGUUUCAAUGCUUUUUUUUUUUCCACUGCAUACUUUUGAUGUUCAUACAUGCUACAGCUUUUUCUGUUUGUUUGUUUGUUUCAACCAACUAGUAUUCAUACCACAUUGUGUUUUACACAUCCAUCAGUUGACAGGCAAUUGAAUUUCUCCAUUCAUUGGCUAUCAUGAAUAAUAAUGUCAUAUACAUUCACGUACAAGCCUCUGAAUGAAUGUCAUGUUGAUUUCUCUUGAGAAGAAUUCUAAGAAUAAAUUUCCUGGGUCUUAUAAUGCUUGUCUCUUUCAGAAACUGCCAAACUAUUCUGAUAAGUUUGUAUCAUUGGUGCUAUACAAUUUUACAUUCUGACCAGCAAUUUAUAGGGAUUCUGGUUGCUAGCAGCUUUACCAGCAUGAUGUAUUAGCCAUUUAUGUUUUCUUUGCUGAAAUGUCUAUUCAAAUAUUUAACCCAAUUUUAAAUUGAGUUGCUUGUGAGACUGAAUAUACAAAAAUGGAACUUUGACCCACUGCCUGUAGUGACCUGCCCGGGAAACUAUCCCCUUAUCUACAGUAACCAGCCCAGGAGAGCAGUCAGCUAUAGGUCAAAUCUGAAGUGACAACUUCUAUGAUAAUCCAGGAAGCUACCCAUUAACUUUUGUAAUAAUUAGCCUGAAUUGGCCAGGACUUGAUCAAUGACUGACAGCUUCCCUAAUUUUUGUCCCAGCUUCCAGUGGAGGACCCACCACAGAAAGCCAGAUGCGCCUACCUAACCCAUCACAUGUGGUUCAGCUGCCUCCAGUUUCCUAGGCAACAGCUUCACAUCAGGGCUCACUAGAGUCCCUGCGCCCCAUGGCUAAGCCCUUUCCACUCUUCUGCCUGCCUUUGAAUCUCUGCCAAACAAGUGACAGUAACCAACACCCUUUGCAAAGCAAGUUCUGAGCAUUUAUUUCAACCUUUGUCUCCUCAUUAUUGAGUUAUAGGAUUUCCUUGUACAUUUUGAAGGUAAGUCAUUUAUCAGAUAUACAAUGAGCAAAUAUUUUUCCCAGUAAGUGGUUCAUCUUCAUCCUCUCAAUGUUUUCUUUGGAAUCACAACAUGUUUCAUUUUAAUGAAGCCAUUUAACAGUUUUCCUUUACAGUUUAUCUUUUUGGUAUCACAUCUUUAAAAAAAAUCUUUGUCUAAAUCUAAUUGCAAAUAAUUCUGGUAGGUUUUUUACUUCUGACACGUAGUUCCAUUAUGGUGAGAGAGCGUAUUACGUAUUUCUGGUCUUUUAAAUUUGUGAAGGUAACCCCAGAAUGUGGUCUAUCUUGAUGAAUGUUCUAUGUGAGCCUGAGAAGAAUGCAUACUCUAUUUUGUUAGAUGAAGUAUUCUACAGACACUAAUUCAAUCCAGUAGAUUGAUAAAUUAGUGAAGCUAAUCUGUGAUGAUUAAUUUUAUGUUAAAGUUGAGUCAUAGUGUCCAGAUAUAUAGUCAAACAUUAUUCUGGGUCUGCCAGUCAGCUUUCUGUCAUGGGGACAGAAUACCUAAGGAAAGAUUUAUUUUGGCUCACAGUUUCAGUCCACGGUCACUUGGAUCCACCAUUUCUGGGCCUAUGGUGAGGCAGUCUAUAAUGGAGGGAGGACAUGGUAGAGAAAAGCUGCUGACCCCAUGACAUUCAUUACAGGGACUGGGGAACGGAGCCAGGGACAAGAUGCAAGGAUGUUCCUUCAUGGACUACUCCCUCCAAAUAGGCCUAUCUCCUUAAGUUUCCACACCUUCUAACAGUACCACCAGUUGGGGACCACGCUUUCACCACAUGAGCCUUUGGGGGACAAACUGUAACACUGGGUGUAAGGGUAUGUUGAAUGACAUUAGUAUUUAAAUUGGUGGA
rnacentral:lncRNA from 1 species